CUCCCCCUCCUCUCCGUGAGCUGAUUGGCAGGUGGGUUCCAAUAUUCCCUUCCCUGCUUCGCACGGUCUUAGCUUUAUUUCUAAGCCAUCUUUGAUCCCUGUUGUUUUUUUCUCUCCCUCAAAAAUUCAGCUGUCUAUAAUUGAUUUCUCUCUUAAAAUUUAUAAAUUGAAAAAAAUUUUACAAAGUCAAAUUCUGCAAUGUUGAACCGCUGAAAAAUUUUUCUUGAAUAAUAAUAAAGGUGACUGCAUGCAUAGAUAGGACGAAGGCCUAUUUUUUAUUUAAAAUAAAAUUCAGAUUAAAACAAAUAUUUAAAUAAAUUAAAUUUAUUCUUUAUAUAAAUGAAUUAAAAAAGUUAACUUAAAAUAAAUAGAUUGAAUAUUUAUUUAUAUAAAUAUGAAAUCUGAAGUUCUUCUAAUAUGCGUUUGACAUAAAAUAAAUAAUAUAAAAAUUAAAUUAAAAAUAUGAAAGACGAAUUAAUAUUUUAUUAUUAUUUUUUUAUAAUAAAUUUUUGUGUGGGGUAGAUUGAAGCCAAAUACGUUAGAUUUUUUUUAAAAAAAUAAAUAAUAAAUAAUAAAAAUAAAUAUUUAUUGUAGUUUUUUUUUUUUGGCUUUUUAUAUAACAAGCACGCAUGCUAUGAAUGUGUUGGUUGAUUGUCCAAAAAAAAAAAAUAUUGACUCCUAGAAAAAAAGAUAAAAAAUAAAAAAAUAUAUAUAUAAUUAUGACCGCGGAGGAAGGGGCCCGGAAAGGUCGAAAGAGGUGGGGUGGUCAUUGGCUGCCUCCGACUUUGUCUAACAUCCACAGCGAAAGAGAAUUAAACUUUACAGUAAUAAUAAUGAUGGUAAUAAUAACAAUAAUAAUAACACUAAAUAACGCCGUAAUUAUCUGGGAAAGAAUCUAUUCUGUGCCCAUUUAACCGACACGUGCCGGUACCCUCGCCUCCCCCUCGCUUUUCCUUUUUUUUUUUUUUUUUUUGUUUUUCCACCUCUUUCUCUUUCUCGCUGUCUCUCCAUCGACCGCGAGAAAGAGGGGGGUUUGAGUCCUCGCUGGUUUCCUCGACGUGUCUUCCGCUUUCUCGGUGGCAGCGGAGGAAGAGGAAGAGGAAGAGGAAGAGGAGCUCUUCCCGAUCCCGAGCGGACUCUCAUCAUCCGAUCUGCAGCCCCUCCCUCUCGGGCGCGCGCUCUCUUCCUCGAUCUCUCGAUCGACAAUCCUUCAAUUUCCUGAUCGAGAUCUACGCUCCUUCUUUGGCAGAUUCACAAAUCUCUGUUCAGGUUGGUUCUAUCCUUCCUUCUCUUCCCAGAUCUGGCGCUUUGAUUUUGAUCUCGCUCGUAAUUCUCCCUGUUUUGAUUUCUCCGUUCAUGUGUAUGUUUAUACAUUUGGGCUCUACCAUCUCUGAGCUGUGUGGUGCUAAAUGUUUGUUAGAUCGUUGGUUGUUUACAGUCGGAUGAGAGAUCUGAAUCUGCUCAUUCGAGUUUCCCAGAUUAUGCAUACUUUGAAUAGAUUUAGUUUUCUCCAUUUAUUCGGGCCUUUAUCUCCUGUGAAUGUAGUUUUUUCCCUUUUUUAUUUUGUUUUCUCUUUCUCCGAGUUUGUAGAAAUUGUUGACAAGUUAUAGUUCCGUCUAUCACAUCUUUGUGUAGAACCAUUGAUCUCAUAUCCUAUCUCAGAAUAGGGCUCCUUUCUGGGCGUUUUGUCAAUUUGAGGUUGUAUUUUCUCUUCUUACUUUGUUAUUUCAUCUUUACAUUGGCUUCGGAUGCAGAAAAAGGGGAAAAACUAGCAGUUCUGAAGCCCACAUAUCGCUAUAAUUAUAGUAAUCACGUAACUAUGCCCCAGAAGUUUCAUAAUUGAGCUUCCUUGAAUGAUACUCAUCAUUUGUAUCUUAUUCAGAAUUGUUACUUUGAUUUUGGAGGGUAAUCCAGAUGUUUAUCCGCACUGCCUUCAACAUUUAAUGUUUUAAUGUUUUAAUUAAUAAUAUUUGUGGUUUACUUUUAUAUCUCAUGACUACCACUUGGUCUUGGAGACUUAUUGAGGCUUUAUUUCUAUUUCUUUUUUUUAUUUGAUAUGCUGGGAUGAGUCAUUCUUUGUCAAUUCCUAAUAUAGGUUAGCAUUUAGCAGCAUCUACUUUGAGCUUUCUUUUAAAUACUGUAUCUUGUUCUUUUUUUUUGUGUGUGUAUAUAUAUAUAUAUAUAUAAAUUAUUUUAUUUUUUUCUAUUUAACACUGCCUGCCUUAUUUUAUUUUAUUUUUACAUGCGGGAACAACACCUUUUACAUAAGGUGGCUCUACCAGCAUCGUCUAUUGUUUCUCCUCUUGAUUCAUUUGUUUUAUUGUCAAAAUGUAGUAUUAUCUGAUUUCUUUGCAGGAGGCGGGCGCCACUGAGCAGAAAUACAGAAGGCUGCUAGUGCCGGAAGCAUGAAGAAAGCAUUUGAUCAAACUGUCCGCGACAUGUAUUGGCUUCUUUUACAUACAAAAGUCUUAUUUCUUCUUCUCAUACACAUAGGCUAUUUAUGAGAGAUAUUUGAUUAAUGUAAAUUGGCUUUGUCGUUCUGUAGUAAGAGAGAGGUGAAUAAGAAGGUCCUGAAGGUUCCUGGAAUAGAGCAGAAGGUAGAUUCGCGGAGUAAAAUUCUCAUGCAUGUCUUUGUCUGUUUAGAUUUUUUCCAUUUUCACUUUAAUUGCUCUCAAUGUGCCACUACUAGCAGUUAUCUCAAUGUCACCCAUUUAAUAUGGGUCCUUUUCCUUUUUUGAUGGUUUAUCUCCAUUAGAUUCUUGAUGCUACAAGCAAUGAACCAUGGGGCCCGCAUGGAUCACUUCUCGCGGAUAUUGCCCAAGCAACACGAAAUUAGUAAUUUUACUAUCACAUUUUACUACAUUAUGCAAUUUUGCAGUAUGAUACUAAGAGAGUUAAGCAAUGUGCAGUCAUGAAUACCAGAUUAUUAUGAAUGUGAUAUGGAAGAGGAUCAACGAUACCGGAAAAAAUUGGCGUCAUGUUUAUAAGGUGCUGUGCUUUUCUUUUUUUUGAUCCUAUCUAUCCUGGUAAAUAUGCAAUACUUGGGAAUGUGGAAGUGCAAGAUAUACUUACUCAGUUAUGCUUAUAAACUUUUACUAAAAUCAUUGUGCUUUGUAUGAAGUCCUAUAUAACACUAUAGUAUUUCAAUUUCUAUCGGGUGGCUGGCACUACCUAAUUGAGUGUUUUUGUAAAGUCCUAUAUAAUUUGGCAAUCUUCCUUUUCAUAUUGGUUUGUAGGCAUUGACUGUCUUGGAUUACCUAGUUGCUCAUGGUUCUGAGCGUGUGAUUGAUGAUAUCAGGGAGCAUUCUUACCAAAUAUCGGUUAAGUAUUAUUUUGUUAUUGAUUUACUUGAUACUACUUUGCUUCAUUUUCUGCAACCAUGGGUAUCACGUGCAAAGCAUUAUUACUGAUGGAGUGCAUUACAAUAUGUCAGACCUUAUCGGACUUCCAGUAUAUUGACUCUAGCGGGCGGGACCAGGGGAGUAAUGUUCGAAGGAAAUCUCAAAGCCUUGUUUCUCUAGUUAAUGAUAAAGAAAGAAUACAGGAAGUUAGACAAAAAGCAGUCGCAACUAGGGACAAGUGAGUAUGCUCUUUGUAGUAAAAAGAACUGUCUGUGCGAUUUGUUCUUCAUGUAUAAUUAUUUUCAUUUUUUAUUCUAUAGGUACCGCAGUACAUUUUCAACGGGUGGAACAAAUAGGCCUAGCUCCUAUUCUGGUGCAGGUGGCUAUGGUGACCGUUAUGACGAUGAUCGCUACGAAAAUCGUUAUGGUGGUAGGGAUGAUGAACGGAAUGGUAAUGGAAGGGAAAGAGAAUGGGGUUACAGGGAUGAUGAUAGAUAUGGAGGGGGUGGAGAUUCGUAUUAUCGUGAUGGAGACCGUUAUGCUAGGGAUACAGAUGAACGUUAUGGAAGAGAGAGUAACUACAGGGCAGAUGAAUACCGAGGAGCCCGUGGCAAUGAUGACUAUUCAUAUGGGUCAAGAAACAGGAGCUUUGAUCGUGACAGAGACCGUUCUCAUGAUGAUGAUGACCGCUAUUCUUCUCGGUAUGCUCUCAGUCCUUGUCAUCUUUCCAUUGUUAAAUUUUUUAUUUCCUUUAGCACUUUCUAACUCGGCGUUAGGUUGUAUGGAUGUAACAAAAAAUCUUUCUGGAGUAGUGUGAUCUAUUUUUUCACUUUUACCUUUAUUUGAUUGUUGCUUGCAACUUUACUUAUUUGAAGCUCGAUAGAUAUUUCUUUCUCAAUUUUACAUAUUGUUGAAUAUGAUCUAUGAUCUAAGUAUUUUGAUUGUUAAUUUUGCUGCAGAAGUGAUGGUGGCAAACAUGAUGACCCUCCUCAGGAUGAAAGGUGAACUUUGAAAUUUCUUGAACUUUGAAAUUUCUUGGACUACGUAACUAUCUUUAUUUUAUUUUUCAAGUAAUUUUUUAAGUUCUAUUGCGUAACUGCCAUUCCGAUAUGAUAAUUGAUUACAGUCGACUGGAACAAAAGCUUUCAAAGCAGAGUGUCGAUGCACCACCCAGCUACGAAGAAGCCAUUGGGGUGACUCAAAAUCAAAUGAAUGAAGAAAGGUAAUUAUUUCAUGGUCCUUGAACAUAUUGGACUGAUAAUUGUGCAAUUGCCUUGUCUGACAAAAUUUCCAUUCAAGAAAUGGAGGGACUUCGUCAGCUUCUGCCCCAAAGGUUACUUCACCCACUGCACCUAGAUCAAGUUCUUCCUCAGGUCCUCCAGCUCAAGCCACAGAAAAUGUUACCCCUGUUGAAAAACCACUCGCGGAAAAUAAUGGGGGUGACGGUUUUGAUGAGUUUGAUCCUCGAGGUCCUGUGUCAGGUACUGCAUAGUCUUUCUAUCCUUUAUUUGUCGCCAUAGCUUCCUAUGCAUCUUGAGUUUCGCUUUUCGUUUUAAAAUGUGUAAAUUUUGUGGACAAAAGUAUUCAAUGUUAAAUAAGUUGGUUGCUAAUCCAACAUUGUUGAUGUAGUAAAUUGAGAUUUUAGAUGUUUUGAUUAGUUUGUCGGACUUCGUAAUUUCAGCUUCCAAUUGUCAUGCGAGAGUUUUGUUGUGUUAUAACAAUGUUUGAGCAAUUCUGGCAAAUUGGGAAAAUAUGUAGUGUCUCAUCAACUUUCCUUAUUUGAACCUGCUAGUACUGUGUGGAUUGCCUGAACUUAUAGACACUUGUAUAUAGACUAAACUAAGCUCAAUCUGGUAUGCUUAUUCAACAACUAUGGUAAUUACACUUUAUUUUUUUCCUGAUUGGUAGAAGUAAGCGUAUGCUAGCCCUUCAUGCCCAUAUAUAACACUUAAAAUCUUACAGAAAUAAGCCUAUUAAAGUUUGUUGAGUUUUUGAAUUACUUGCCAAAAAAAGAGUCUGAAAAUAUAUUGUCUAGGCUAGUAAAUUUUCUGUGUUGGAGUUGUAAUAUUUGUCUAGUUCCAGGAAUGAUGCACCACGAGAUACUUAACAUUGGUUAAGCCAUAGGAAUUGCAUAUGAUCGAACUGAUUGAAAUGUUUCAUUCAGUGUGAUAUGCUUCAGUAAGGAGGGACUUUUUUCUUUUUUCCUAACCAUCAUAAUUAGAAAAAAAAAUGAAUAUUGAAGCUCUCAUCAAUGAAGUGUGAGACUGAUGAUAAUGAUUUUCCCAUGAUAGUGAAAUUGACCAAUAAACAUAAAAGAGUAAUAUUCGUGAAUCAAGGAAUAGGAUUACUGUUUGUGAUUGGGGUUAGCUUAGUUACUGAGAUUAGAAGAUCUGAGACAUUAAGGUUUUGUAUUACUGUACUCUGAAAUGUGUGAACUAUUGUUCUGUUGGUUAGAUUCCAUAAAUCAAUAUCUAUGAGUGCAAAUUGAACUGAUUCGAUCUCUCUUCUCUUUUCUUCUUCUUCCCACCCCUCCCAUUUCUUUUUUUUUUUCCUUUUUGUCCGCCUUUGUGAUCAGCCACCACCCAACCUGCAGCGAGUAGCUUGGAAAUGGAUUUAUUUGGUUCACUAUCUGCCACAGAUACUGUUAAUUCAUUAGCUCUGGUGCCUAUCACUACUAUUGAUACUUCUCCCGAGCCUGAAAUUCCUGCAAAUUCGGGUUUUGGGACCAGCAAUUUUGUGGCUCAGCCAUCAGCAUCUACUGCAAUGAAUGAGGUUAUGGGUCAACUCACUAAUCAAUCUAUCAUUCAUAAUCUUCCCAUCGAUGCAAGCAUAACAAUCUUUUAUCUUAUUCUCUGUUCUCUUAUGCAGCCCAGCAAUAAUAACCCUUUUGGAGAUGCUCCUUUCCUGGCUAUUCCUCAAGAAAAUUUGCUAGCUCAGCAGCCAACUCCGGCACCUGUCAGCCCUUUCCAGCCGAAUGGUUUAACUGGAGGUGGUGAGCCUCUACCAUCUAUGCCUCCCAAGAUGGAAACACACACGAACUUUGAUUUUGGUGAUGCGCUCGGCGGUCUUACUUAUGCUCCCAGUGUUCCAUUCGGUCAACAAGACUCCUCUCCGUGUCCUCCAUUUUUGGUGGAGCCACAAGCAUCUAUGCUUAUGCAUGGAACUGAUGUUCCAUCUACUGCUUUUCAGCAGCCAGGGCCAACAACUUUUAACCCUUUAAUAGCUCAACCUGCAAUGCCUACAAGUAUUCAGCCAGGUCAAACAAGCUUUGUUCCGCAGCCCUUCACAGGAACACUUCCCUCACAGGGAGCUCAACCUGCAGCACCUCCAAAUAUGCACAUAAAUCAGUCGAGUUCUCUUAUGCAGUCAAAUCCGUCGGCUCCCUUCGGCUCACAACCUACGCCACCUGCUUUACAUGCAACUCAGCCAGUUAAUCCGACUAAUACACUCCCAUCUAAUAUGAACCUCCUCCCACAGUCAGCCGCCUCGGCUCCUGUUUCUGAGGAAAUAGGUCCUAAUCUUUCAUCUCUGCAACCUGCUAAGACUGAGCCUACCAAGAAGUUUGAACCCAAAUCGGCAGUUUGGGCUGACACAUUGAGCCGGGGCCUGGUCAAUCUGAACAUUUCUGGACGUAAGUGCUUCCACCUUCUGCUUAUUUGCUGCUAUCAUUCUUUGGCAGAAGCCGGAUCUAUGUCUCUAUUGUUGCUGAGUCUUUUAUGCUGGUGUGUUUUCUUUUUUCAGCUAAAAUCAAUCCACAUGCUGACAUUGGAGUUGACUUUGAUUCCAUCAACCGAAAGGAAAAGAGAGAGGAGAAGAAAAGCUCCACUGCUCCUGUGACAUCUACGGUCACAAUGGGGAAAGCUAUGGGAGCUGGUUCGGGCAUAGGUCGUGCUGUUGCUGGCAGCAUGGCACCCCCUCCAAACGCCAUGGUAGGUUCUGGCAUGGGGAUGGGCAUGGGAAUGGGUGGUUAUGGUGGGACUGUGAAUCAGCCGAUGGCCAUGGGAAUGGGAAUGAACAUGGGAAUGGGGAUGGGUAUGGGGAUGAAUAUGGGCAUGGGUCAAGGAAUGCCUAUGAGGCCACCAACUGGGAUGCCACCUAGCCGGCCUGCAAUGCCUGGUGCAGGCUACAAUCCAAUGAUGAGCUCGGGUUAUGGUGCACAGCAGCCGUUUGGCAGUGGGUAUCGGUGAAUCAGGUGAUAGUCUUGUUAUCAAGAUAUUGUGGAAUAUGGGAUUGUUGAUAGAAAAUUGAACUGGUGUUAGGAUUUGUUCAGCUGUCUUACUGUAUCCAGUAGCUUGUUAUCUCAAUCAUGAUCGUGAUAUCCAAGUUGGAUCUGGAUGUGUUUAUUGAUACGUGUAAUUGAUACAAGCAGUCCUGCUGGUACUACACAAGUACAACUUUCCAGUUGUAUCAGAUUGAGGUCUGGAUGCUGCGGACCUCCGAUAUGUUGUUGUAAUGGAUGAUAAUCAGCCUUUGGCUGUUUUUGUGAACUAUUGGCUUAUUAUUUGUUGCAGCAUGCUCGCUGGAUAGACAAUAAAGAAUUGAUAUUCUUUACUGCAAACGGUAAGACCGAAAUGUAUUCUUCUUGGUUGUGAUGGCGCAUACAUGAGUAUAGCCUCUUUUCUCAUUUGGUUUAGAUAAAAUUGGAUGUCUUCUCGCAUAUCUAAGAUGGGCGUCUGCCGAUCUGAUUUGUUUGUUUGAUGUUGUGCAGCUUGUCUAGCUGUGACAGCUGCAUCUUCUUGAUUUAUAGAGAUGGCUUGGCGUGGCACGGUUGCUUGACUAUGCAGUAGUGUCCCGUGGUGCUGCCGGUCAAAUUGAUUUUAAAUAUGCGUCCUUAAUUCAUCAAUCGAGCUAGUUCUCAUGCUAUAUAUACAGAAUUCAACUACCUGAAUAUAAAAGAUGGGGGCAAAACAUUUCUUUUCAUUUUUUUUCUUUUAAAAAUUGCUGUUCUAGAUCGGUAUUUGGAGUUCGAUCACACAUUUAUAACCUGCUUUCUUGAGUUUUUGAGAUCAUCUGUCCGCCUGUUUCCCCUUGGUUCUACGGAGUAAGAUUGGGCUUUGUUCAAGUCUAAGACUAUUUCUGAGCUACCGCUGGAUCAGCUCUUCGGAAAUUCCAGCUGCGCGGAAAUUAAAAAAGUCGUCGGUUGGUGUCGAACAGCAGAGCGUACGAUUAGUGUAGAGAAGAGAAAUGAGUUAGUGGCCGGUCAUAGCAUCCCCGUAGCGUUCCCGCAUUUUUUUUUUUUUAAUGUCAAAUAAUAAAUGUCAUCAAGUUGUCUCCUCUCUGCAAACCACACAGUUGGUUAAAGAAGCUAAAAAAGUAUCACGACGACAUGAGUUGUUAAGCUCAUAAUUUUAUGUUUUAUAUAAAAGUAAGCACAUGGUUGUCGAGCAAAAGAAACAGAAGAACUGCGGAGGGUGGAAGACCAACAAAAAAGAACAGAAAAAAAGAAAAAAAUUAAUGUAGUGCCAACCGUAAUUAUCUGGAAAAGAAUAGACACCCAAAUCCCAUCUCAGCCGGCACGAGCAGAGACCUCUCAUCCCUUUUUAUUUUAUUUUUCUGAAUUUUAACAGAAUUGAAAGUUUAUACAAUAUAGUAUUCUUUUAGUUAAAUUUCGUAAGGCCGAAGUUUUUAAAUUAUGUACGCUUCGUGAUAUUCAAAGAGUAGUAUAUAUUUAAAGACAUAAAUUUUGAAUAUUAAGUUUCUCAAUAAUUGAAUUUGUGUAUCGCUCUCCAAUUUUUGGAGCUGUACCACACUUGGCUAAUUUUUUUCGUUUUUUUUUUUUAAAUCUAUAAAAUGAGUAUUCUUUUGUUUUCUUAUAUAUAGUAAUAAUAGUAAUAGGAUGUGGUGAGUUGAUACGCUACACCGGGUGCAGGUAAUAACUCGUCGUCAAAGUACAGGAGGAGAUCCAGCGUGUUUCCGCCUCUGCUAUUUUCUGUCCAUCGAGCACAGGAGCGGUGGAAAGAAGGAGAGAGAGAGAGAGAGAGAGAGAGAGAGAGAGAUUCCGGGGAUUUCCUUUGACGACGUGUCGACCACGGCUUCCUCCUCGCCGGAGCUCUUCGCCGAUCAGACAGAGUCAGAGAUUCACAAAUUUCUCUCUCUUUCUCCUUCGCCUUCUUCUCCUCAGGUAGGUCGGUGGAUUCGUUCGAUCGUUCCUCGCUCUUCCCAUUCAUCUCGCUCGCUCUAUUAUAUCCGUCUAAAUCUCCAUCUAGCCCUCUGUAUCUCCUGUUUUCGUUUCGAUCCUUGUUUCGCUCCCCCUCGUCCUCGUUUCUCUUUCAUGUGCAUUGAUAUAUUUGUCACAUUUCGAGCUGCGUGUUCGCUGAAUGGCCGUUAUCGUAAUCUGCUCGGGCGUUCGGAUGGGAGAGAUCUGAACGCUAUGUUGUUAAAGGACUUCCAUUUCGGCAGAGUUUCUCAUUCUAGAUUUUGCAACUUUGCAUUGCUUACUCGUGUUCCCAGAUUGCCUUGCCUUUCUUUUGUUGACCUGAGGAGCAGAUUUCAGGCCGAGUUUGGGACCGCGUUCUCCUCUCCUCUCCAAAUGCAUUCAUUUUCAUGCUAUGUCCGCGCUAGCGUGCUGCUCCUUAUUGCCAUUCGGUCAGUUUGAGGUUGCGUUUUUCGCGUUUGCUCCUCUGGUGUAUCAUUCAGAUAUACAUACGCUGGUGCAGUGUUGUUGUUAUUAUUUGGAGACGUCGAAAAGGCAGAAUUCAAGUAGCUUUACGCAUCUCUGUCUCUAUCGUAAUAAUACGUAAAUGUCCCCUACCAGCUUCGUAAUUGGUUGCUCCCGCGAACGAACACUCGUGAUUUGGUAUCUUGUUGGCAAUUGAAAUUUUGAUUUUGGAGGGCAAUGCAGAUGUGUGAUGUGUGCCCACACAAUUUUCUAUAUGUUGUGUCUGCACUGUGCUAGUUAUUAUUUUAGGAUUUCUUUUAUUUCUCACGGCUACUGCCUGAUCUUGAACAAUUAUAGCCUGUCCUACUUUUAUUGAUAGGCACCUAUUAGCAUUAUCUCGUUUUAUCAUUUCAGCACUUGUGAAUAUUCUUCCCACCCUUAGAUAUGCUUUAGAUUAGUCGUUCUAUGUCGGUUCUUGUUGUACAGUAGCAACAUCUAUUGAGCUUUCUUCCUAGAAAUGACUCCUUUUCAUUGUGUAUUUUAGCCCGUUGUUCGUGUGCAGGAGACAACACCUCGUCACUAGCUCUACCAGCUUCUUGUAGUGUUUUACCUCUUGAUUCCAUCUUUAUAUUGUCAAACUGCAGGAUCCUCUGACUUCUUUGCAGGAGGUAGGCACUGAACAGAACUACAGAAGACUGCUUGUGGGGGAAACAUGAAGAAAGUGUUCGGUCAAACCGUCCGUGACAUGUAUUAGCUUCCUUUACAGAGAUCUCCUAUUUCUCCUUUUCUCAUGCAACAUAGACUCUGUUAAUAUAAGAGAUGUUUAACUAAUGUAAACCGGAUACUGUGUGCUGCAGUAAGAGAGAGGUGAACAAAAAGGUCCUGAAGGUUCCUGGAAUAGAGCAGAAGGUAGAUUCGUGGAGUUUUACUAUCUUGCAUGCCUUUGUCUGUUUUUGAUUUUUCCAUUUCCACUCUUAUUGCUCGCAAUGUGCCACUUCUAGCAUUUAUCUCAAUGUCACGCAUUUAACAUGGGUCCUUUUCCUUUUUUUGGUGGCUUAUCUUCAUUAGAUUCUUGAUGCUACGAGCAAUGAACCGUGGGGCCCACAUGGAUCGCUUCUUGCGGAAAUUGCCCAGGCAACACUAAACUAGUAAUAUUACUAUCACGUUUUACUACAUUAUACAAUUUUGCAGUAUAUGGUACUAAGACUGUUAAGCAAUUGUGCAGUCAUGAAUACCUGAUGAUUAUGAAUGUGAUAUGGAAGAGGAUCAACGAUAGUGGGAAAAAUUGGCGUCAUGUUUAUAAGGUGCUUUGCUUUUCUUUUCUUUGAUCCCAUCUAUCAUGGUAAAUGUGCAAUAGUUGAGAACAUGGAAGUGCAAGAUAUACUUAUUCUGUUAUGCUUAUGAACUGUUACUAAAAUUAUGAAGUGUUUUUCAUGAAGUCCUGUAUAACAUUAUGGUCUUCCAAUUCCUAUUGGGUGGUUGGCGCUACCUAAUUGAGUGUUUUUGGAAAGUCCUAUGUAAUUUGACAAUCUUCCUUUUUGUAUUGGUCUGUAGGCAUUGGCUGUCCUGGACUACCUAGUUGCCCAUGGAUCUGAGCGUGUGAUUGAUAAUAUCAGGGAGCAUGCUUACCAGAUAUCAGUUGAGAUGCUUAUCAUUUUGUUCUUGAUUUACUUGAUAUUACUUGGCUUCAAAUUUCUGCAACCAUGGGUAUCACGUGCAAAUCAUUAUUACUGAUGGAGUGCAUUACUGUAUGUAUGUCAGGCCUUAUCCGACUUCCAGUAUAUUGACUCUAGCGGGCGGGACCAGGGGAGUAACAUUCGAAGGAAAUCUCUAAGCCUUGUUUCUCUAGUUAAUGAUAAAGAAAGAAUACAGGAAGUUCGACAGAAAGCAGUUACAACUAGGGACAAGUGAGUAUGCUCUUUGUAUUAAAAAAAGAACCGUCUGUAUGACUUGUUCUUCACCUAUAAUAAUUUUCUUUUAUUUUAUUCUGUAGGUACCGCAGUACAUUUUCAACGGGUGGAACAAAUAGGGCUAGUACCUAUUCUGGUGCAGGCAGCGAUGGUGACCGCUAUGACGAUGAUCGCUACGAAAAUCGUUACGGUGGUAAGGAGGAUGAACGGAAUGGUUAUGGAAGGGAAAGAGAAUGGGGUUACAGGGAUGAUGAUAGAUAUGGAGACAGUGGAGAUUCGUAUUAUCGUGAUGGAGACCGUUAUGCUAGGGAUACAGAUGAACAUUAUGGAAGAGAGGGUAACUGCAGGGCAGAUGAAUACCGAGGAGCCUGUGGCAAUGAUGACUAUUCAUAUGGGUCAAGAAACAAGAGCUCUGAUCACAACAAAGACCGUUCCCAUGAUGACGAAGACCGCUAUUCUCGUCGGUAUGCUCUCGGUCCUGCUGAUUUUGCUUGCUGUUAAUUCUUCUUGCUUCCUUUAUUACUUCUAAGUCAGUGUUGAGGAAUGAUUUUUUUGCAUGAUUGUAUCAAGUCUCUCUCAAGUAGGUAACCCUUUACUUUUACAUGUAUUUGAUUGUUGCGUGCAAUUUUACUUAUUUGGGUUUUGAUUAGAUAUUUCUUUCUUAAGCUAAUCUUCUUUUUGUGUGUUAUCAUGAACAUAAGGUUGCAUAUGAUCUAUGCUCUGAGUAUACUUGACUGCUACUUUUUCUGCAGAAGUGAUGGUGGCAGGCAUGCCGACCCUCCUCACGAAGAAAGGUGAAUCUUGAAUUUCCUUGGAUUGCAUAACUACCUUUUUUUCAUUUCUGAAAGUAAUGUGCUAAGGUUUUUCACAUUGCUGCCCUUCCAAUGUAAUAUUAUUAUCAGUCGACUGGAACGAAAGCCUUCAGAGCAGAAUGUUGGUGCCCCUCCCAGCUACGAAGAAGCCAUUGGGGAGGCCCAAAAUCAACUGGAUGAAGAAAGGUAAUUAUUUUCUUGCUCCUUGAACAUACUGGACCAAUUAGUAUACAAAUUGCCUUGUUUGACAAUAUUUUUAAUCAAGAAUUGGAGGGAAUAUAUCAACUACCGCACCAAAGGAUACUUCACCCUCCGCUCCUAGAUCAAGCUCUUCAUCGGGUCCUACAGCUCAAACAUCAGAAAAUGCUACUGCUGUAGAAUCUGCACUCCCUCAAGCUAACGAAGUUGAUGGUUUUGAUGAGUUUGAUCCUCGAGGUUCUGUGUCAGGUACUACAUAUUCUGGCUUUCCCUUAUGUGCUUCCAUGAAUUGCGCUGUGCUGGAGUUUGGCUACCAUGGUGUAAAUAUCUGCGUUGGAGUGGGAAUUGAACUGAUUCUUUCUCUAUCUUCGUUUUCUUUUUUCUUUUCUUUUUUCUUUUGUCUGCCUUCGUAAUCAGCCACCACCCCUCCUGCAGCAAGUAGCUUGGAAAUGGAUUUAUUUGGAUCACUAUCUGUGACAGAACCUGUUAAUUCGUUUGCUCUGAUGCCUAUCACUCCUAUCGAUACCCCUCCCGAGCCGGAAAUUCCUGCAAAUUCAGGUUUUAGGACAGGCAGUUUUGUGGCUCAGCCAUCAACAUCUACUUUAAUGAGCCAGGUAAUGGGUCAACUCACUAAUAGAUCUAUCAGUCAUAAUCUUCCUGUCGAUUCAAGCAUAACAAUCUUUUAUCUUCUUCUCUGUUCUCUUAUGCAGCCCAGCGAUAAUAACCCUUUUGGAGAUGCUCCUUUCCUGAGUACCAGCGAUAAUAACCCUUUUGGAGAUGCUCCUUUCAUGGCUAGUCAAGAAAAUUUUCCAGCUCAGCAGCCGACUCCGGCACCUGUCAGCCCUUUCCAGCUGAAUGGUUUAACUGGAGGAGAGCCUCUACCACCUGUGCCUCCCAAGAUGGAAAAACACACGAACUUUGAUUUUGGUGAUGCGCUCAGUGGUCUUACUUAUGCUCCCAGUGUUCCGUUCGGUCAACAAGAUUCCUCUCUAAGUCCUCCAUUUUUAGUGGAGCCACAAGCAUCCAUGCUUAUGCAUGGAACUGAUGUUCCAUCUACUGCUUUUCAACAGCUAGGGCCAACAAUUUUUAACCCUUUAAUAGCUCAACCCACAAUGCCUACAAGUAUUCAGCCAGGCCAAGCAAACUUUGUUCCACAGCCCUUCACAGGAACACUUCCCUCACAGGGAGCCCAACCUGUGGGACCUCCAAAUAUGCAGAUAAAUCAGCCGAGUUUUCUUAUGCAGUCAAAGCCGUCGGCUCCCUUUGGCUCACAAACUAUGCCACCUGCUUUACAUGCAACUCAUCCUGUUAAUCCGACUAAUACACUCCCAUCUAAUAUGAACCUUCUCCCGCAGUCAACCGCCUCGGUUCCUGUUUCCUUAGAAAUAGGUCCUAAUCUUUCAGCUCUGCAACCUGCUAAGACUGAGCCUACCAAGAAGUUUGAGCCCAAAUCAGCAGUUUGGGCUGACACAUUGAGCCGGGGCCUGGUCAAUCUGAACAUUUCCGGAC
rnacentral:lncRNA from 1 species